rnacentral:rRNA from 1 species
GAUGAACGCUGGCGGCGUGCCUAAUACAUGCAAGUCGAGCGAACAGACGAGGAGCUUGCUCCUCUGACGUUAGCGGCGGACGGGUGAGUAACACGUGGAUAACCUACCUAUAAGACUGGGAUAACUUCGGGAAACCGGAGCUAAUACCGGAGAAUAUAUUGAACCGCAUGGUUCAAUAGUGAAAGACGGUUUUGCUGUCACUUAUAGAUGGAUCCGCGCCGCAUUAGCUAGUUGGUAAGGUAACGGCUUACCAAGGCUACGAUGCGUAGCCGACGUGAGAGGGUGAUAGGCCACACUGGAACUGAGACACGGUCCAGACUCCUACGGGAGGCAGCAGUAGGGAAUCUUCCGCAAUGGGCGAAAGCCUGACGGAGCAACGCCGCGUGAGUGAUGACGGUCUUCGGAGCGUAAAACUCUGUUAUUAGGGAAGAACAAAUGUGUAAGUAACUAUGCACGUCUUGACGGUACCUAAUCAGAAAGCCACGGCUAACUACGUG